GGCUCUUUAGCUCAGUUGGGAGAGCGACAGACUGAAGCUGCUCCACGCAAGCUGCACUUCUGCAGGUCUCCGGUUCAAUCCCGGAAAGGGCCA
rnacentral:tRNA from 1 species